rnacentral:rRNA from 4 species
GAAGCGGCAACAGCUCAAAUUUGAAAUCUGGCGCAAGCCCGAGUUGUAAUUUGUAGAGGAUGCUUCUGGGUAGCGGCCGGUCUAAGUUCCUUGGAACAGGACGUCAUAGAGGGUGAGAAUCCCGUAUGUGACUGGCUUGCACCCUCCACGUAGCUCCUUCGACGAGUCGAGUUGUUUGGGAAUGCAGCUCUAAAUGGGAGGUAAAUUUCUUCUAAAGCUAAAUACCGGCCAGAGACCGAUAGCGCACAAGUAGAGUGAUCGAAAGAUGAAAAGCACUUUGGAAAGAGAGUUAAAAAGCACGUGAAAUUGUUGAAAGGGAAGCGCCCGCAACCAGACUUUGCGGCAGUGUUCGGCCGGUCUUCUGACCGGUUUACUCGCUGUCGUGAGGCCAUCAUCGUCUGGGACCGCUGGAUAAGACCUUAGGAAUGUGGCUCCCCUCGGGGAGUGUUAUAGCCUCUGGUGAUGCAGCGCGUCUCGGGCGAGGUCCGCGCUUCGGCAAGGAUGAUGGCGUAAUGGUUGUCGGCGGCCCGUCUUGAAACACGGACCAAGGAGUCUAACAUCUAUGCGAGUGUUCGGGUGUCAAACCCCUACGCGUAAUGAAAGUGAACGGAGGUGGGAACUUUUUGUGCACCAUCGACCGAUCCUGAUGUCCUCGGAUGGAUUUGAGUAAGAGCAUAGCUGUUGGGACCCGAAAGAUGGUGAACUAUGCCUGAAUAGGGUGAAGCCAGAGGAAACUCUGGUGGA